ensembl:lncRNA
CACCUCCAGGUGUUCGGCCUCAAGCCCGCUGCAGCCAUUGUUUACCGCCCUCCCGCGGAUUAAUCCCCUGUCAGUCAGGCGCGAGAUGCUCUCGGGGAGACAGGCUGUGUCAACACGACCAAAAAUAGUUGAAAGUUGAAAGAUUCAGUUAGUCAACACUUAGGGGUUUGCGGAGGGAGGGAAAUGCAAUCAGUGACUCAGCUUGAAUAGGUUUCUCCACCUCAUCAAUUUAUUAUUAUUAUUUAAAAAUCAACAAUAAGGCACACAGCCUGCAUGCUGUGCCAGGCACGGCUCCAAGUGCCUCACAAACACUAACUUAGAGCUCCUAGUCACUCUCCUUGUCCCCACUUGAAAGAUGAGGGAACAGAGGCAUGGGCAGGAUUGCAAACUGCUGGUCUGGGGGCCACCUCCGAUCCACAGGCGGAUUUUGUCUGACCUACAAAGAGUUUGAAAGGUUGACGAAAUCCACAUAAAAUUUGAGUUCCUGGCUUUUCUCAAAACAAUGUAUAAAUUUGGUGACUUCAGAUUUCUGCAUGGAGACCAUUGGCUGGAACAAUACAUAGACAGACCUGCGGGGGAGACACACACACAGAUGCCACCCUUGGACACGGACUGGCUUUCCCAGCCACCAGGUUCCCACCUGGCCUGGCGCAUUCAUUUCCGCUCUGUGCCUGGGCCCCGAGGGCGCUGGAGUUGCUGACCCUUGUGUCUCAAGCUCCUAGAGAUCAUCGAAGGGGGCCGAUCAUUGAUGCCGGUGGUGGAGAGAGACUGGGGAAGUUGAGGAAGAAACGAAACAUUUGUUGAAUGAAUGAAUGGGGUCUCUGGGCUUGAGUGGAGUUUUCUGGGUGGGCGAGAAGGAUAGAAUGAGAACAUUUUCCUCAGGAGAAAAUACAAGAAUGCCUUAACGUGGUGGUCUGUAAAGCGGACUCUGCAGUCAGGCUGCCCGAGUUCAAACUCUGUUUUAUUAGCUGCUGCCUAGCGGUCUCUGGGCUUCAGAGUCCGCAUGCGUCAGACGCGGCUAAGUGAAGUAGCUGCCUCACCAGGUUGUUGAACAAAUGAAAUGGAUGUAAAGUACUUGGACAAUGCUCGGCAUAUAAUAGUUGCUCAACAAAUGUUAGCUAGGAAAAGGCCUUAAAAAUGCUCCUUUCAUGAAAUCCAAAUAAAAGUCUGGAUUUAGUUCAUCAUAACAUACCAGUAUCGUCGUCUUACCUGUGACAAAUGUAUCCCCAGCGAGGGAAACUGGCUCGAGGGGCGUGUGGGAAGGCUCUGCACUGUCUUCGCAACUUUUCUGUAAAUCUAAAACCAUUCCACGAUAAAAAGUAUAUUAAAAACGCACCUUUGGCUGUAAACUGUCCCUUUUCAUCAACGGCAAUGCCAAGUAUUUACUGAAAUAAAGAAAAUCCUCACAGCCUCUCAGGUUUCCAUGCACUGAGGCCAUAAAACCUGUGUUUGUGAAGUAAAUAAUUUCCCAAACUGCUUUUUCAAACAUCUGGCAAUUGUGGGAAACAGCACUUUCCAGAUCAUUGUCUGACCCAGUGUCAUGAUGUGAA